CGAAAAGACGGCGACCCGCGACGCGACACUCCUCGCCUGGCCUCAUCCGCAUCGCCCCUUUUUCUCUUCCUCAUCCGGAGCGUUUUUUGAAUUCUUUCCCGUCUCGAGUCUCGACGGCCCAGGGCGAAAUGUCCUCCGCCUCGUUCUGAGAAUUGAACGGAAAUCCUAGAAGGGCCGGACGCCCCUCGCCGGCCCACUGUCACAUUCGUAACCUCUUCUCACUUCUACUCAGCAAUGUUAUCAAACGCACAACUGCUGGAUAUUUGAUACCCUUUUAUUUUCGAUAUUCCCAAAAUCGGAGGAUGUGUCAAAUUUACGUUUAAUCCUUCGUCGCCCUCGUGGAUCCGGCCUUUUUCUCCGUCGCCCUUUCCUCGGAUUUAUUUUCUAUCCAAGACAAAGUAAGUCUUUUCAUCUACUCUUUUUAUCCUCAUUCGAUCUCAGUUUUUAACUCUUCUCUCCUAGAAUUUUACCCGCUUCUCCAUCGGAGCCUUUUAACGCUUUAUUUACAUCCUUAUUUAUUUGUUGUUACGACUGAUAUCUCUUUUUUUCUCACAAAUUUCAUGUGUUUUGUUACUAUUCUUAGAUGUUUCACUUGUGUGCCUAAAUAUAAAAAUCCCCCUUGGCUCCAAUCCAAAUUUGUCGCUUUUCCACUUUUCUAUUAGUCUACUUUACUAACUGUGAAUAUUGACAUUUAAAUUCGCUCUCGUCGGACCGUUCGCUCGGGGGAAAACUUGAAAAAACAAAAAAAAAAAAAACAUUCGAGAAAGUCCUUUCAUUUUCCUUUUUACAAGCAAGAAAAUUUCCAUCUGUAUUAUAAUCUUAUAUAUACAUAUAUAAAAAUAUUUUAAGAAUCAAAAUUUAUUCUUAGAACCCUCCCCAAACCUCAAUAAUUAUACCAAUUCUCAAAUUUCAAUCCCCCCCCUCCAAACGAAAAAUUCGAAGCAACCAAGUUUUUAAAUGAAAUUUAAAAAAACAGAUUCGACUUGAGAACACUCUGGAAAAAAAUUUAGUAAAAUAACAUGUGCCUCCAGGGUAUGAGCGGAUCGGAGGAAGAGCACAGGGUGCAGUUCAUCGUCAGGUACAACCCGCUGAGCCAGAAAGACAGGCCCAAGAGGUAUGAGGUCACACUCAAUGACUCGACCCUCCUCUCGGAGCUUUUCGACCAGGUCGGCAAACACAUGCAGUACGAGCCGGAUACGUUCAAGCUCAUAUAUCAGGCAAAAAGUGGUGACAGGGAGUUUACCAAGUCUUCACCGGAAACGUUGAAAUCAGCUGGAUUCAGCCUGUACCCGAGUAGGAACUCCCUUGUUCUCGAUGUCAUCAAGGAAUCGGAGCCGAAGCCCAGUAAAAACGACGAUGAUAAAGCUAUGAAGAUCAAAACGCCAGAAGCUUUUAUACCGUUUCACAAUGAAAUCACUUUUGCAUCCCCCCCUGUUCGACGAAGCAGUUUUGUCGGGCUUGUGAACCAGGCCAUGACAUGCUACCUCAACAGCCUACUUCAAGCGCUUUAUAUGACGCCUGAAUUCAGAAACGCGCUUUACAUCUGGAAAUUUGACGGUAACACCGAGCCUAACAUGUGUAUACCAUAUCAAUUGCAAAAGCUCUUCCUCAAUUUACAGACUUCUACAAGAAUAGCUGUAGAAACUACUGAGUUGACAAGAAGCUUCGGUUGGGUUUCGGGUGAAGUCUGGCAACAGCAAGACAUCCAGGAACUUUGUCGAGUUAUGUUUGAUGCGUUAGAACACGAGUUCAAAGAUACUGAACAAGCUGAUCUUAUUAAUCGUCUAUAUCAAGGUAAAAUGACUGAUUAUGUCGAAUGUCUUGUGUGUCGAAAGGAGAAAUGUCGGGAGGACACUUUCUUAGACAUCCCUCUUCCUGUCCGGCCAUUUGGUAGUACCGUUGCUUAUGGGAGCAUUACCGAAGCUCUAAAUGCGUUCGUACUACCUGAAACUCUGGACGGAAACAAUCAGUAUUUCUGCGAGUCGUGUAACAGCAAAUGCGAUGCUCAUAAGGGUCUCAAAUUCACAAAGUUUCCCUAUUUGCUUACACUCCAUUUAAAAAGAUUCGAUUUUGAUUAUUCAUCGAUGAAUCGGAUCAAAUUGAAUGAUAAGGUUUCUUUCCCGGAGAUUCUCGAUUUGAACAAGUUCAUAAAGAGUUUGGAUGAGCCGGAAGAAGGCAUUGAGCAGUUAGAAUCUUCUGAGACUUCCAUGAAGUGCGAUUCGACUGUUGAUUCUCCAUUUGAGGAAGAAAGCAUGGUAGAAAAGAAAAUGGACAUAUCAGAUUUAGACCAGGAAGAAGAUGAAGGAAUCGACUUGAGCAGCAACGGAAUCAACAACCACGAAAAUAAUAAGAACGGUCAGGACAGCAAGCCUUCAGGGCCUUUUGUUUACGAGCUUUACUCCAUCAUGAUCCAUUCUGGCAGUGCAAGCGGUGGGCACUAUUAUGCUUACAUCAAAGAUUUCUCAAAAGGGGAAUGGCACUGUUUCAAUGAUCAGACUGUCACAACUAUUACAAGGGAGGAUAUUGAAAAAACUUACGGAGGUGGACCGACAAGAGGCUACUACAGUGGAGCAUACAGUUCGAGCACUAACGCUUACAUGCUAAUGUACAGGCAAAUCGACAAAGAUAAAAACUGUACAGCAAUGACGGAAGAAAAUUUUCCACCUCAUAUCAAGGAAACGCUUAAGGAUAUAAAGAAAGCAGAAGAGGAAGAAAAGGCUAUGAAAGCUCGACAGGAGGAAAUGGUCAAGAUGAAAAUUUUUGCCAUCGAUCUUAUGAACGAUGUAAUGAUCCAUGAGGAAAAGAUACAUAUCUAUGGCUAUGACACGCUUGCUGACGCCACCCGCCUCGCUUGGAGUAAAUUCAAUUUGGAAAAUAUUAUCGCUGAAGAUCAAUGUCGGCUUGUGUUAUUUAACCGAGACACAGGCCAAAUCGAAAUGAGUCUAGAGGCGGAGAAGGACAAACCUUUGAACCAAAUUCUGAAGUCUAAACCGCACAACAUCGAUUUCUUGCUUGAAUUCAGGGAUAAAAACAAACCAUUCAUGCCUUAUACCUCCGAAGAUAUUCACAUGGUGGUGCAUGUCCUUGACCCCGAGUUGGGCGAGAUUCAGAGUUCACAUCACGUUAGAACGACACCGAACCAGCAGCUCUCUGACCUACGCCAAUUUUUCAGCAAAGCUCUGAGCCUUAAUACAAUGGACUUCCACAUAAUCUUGACGACGCCUAAAGUCUGCCUGUUGAACGAUGAUAACAAAUGUCAAUUCAAAAGCAUAUUUUGUAACAACAGGGACACCGCUGCUAGAGAUUCGAUGAGAUCGUUGUAUAGGAUUAAUCCUACAUGCAAAGUCUUUGUGUGCCCGAAAGGCACCGAGGGAGAUGACUUCACAAACUUUGAGUCUUCGCAACUGUACAAAUUGGUUAAAGAGCUUCAACAUGUGAUAUCCUUAGAAUUUAUAAUGCCCCUUACUUGUGAAGUUAAUGAAAAAUUAUGGAAUCUUCUAAUCCCACCUCUUGAGGAAGAGAAAAAUUCUGAGUCUGAAAGGCCUAUGGAACCUGUUUUAACAAGUGAUAAUCAAGUCUGUACACCUCUUGUAAACGGAGCAAAUGAAGAAGAGGCUGUUUUCGGCGGGACUUCUGAUCAGAGCACAAGUGAAGACAGCAGCCUGACAGACAGUGAGAGAACAAUCAUCGGAGAACAGAAUGAAUGUCAAUUAUCCAGUGGAAGUGAUUCAGAACAGUUGUCCUCUCCGGAGCCAGCAUCUGCAAAGAGUAUGGGAUUCAGUCCGAAGCAGGAGGAAGAAAACUGGGAUGAAGUCACUGCCAAAAACUUAUACUUUUCUGCAUCCCCUUUUGUAGUCGUCCUGAAUCAAAAUAGACGAUUAAAAGUUGUCGUUGAUGUACGGAUGCCGAUUCCCGUCCUGAAAUCCAAACUGGAGAAGUACGUCUGUGUCUCGAGCAAGUAUCUCAAGCUGACCAAGGGCAUGGAUCCAGACAGCAGUGGGAUCAUCGUCAGUUCCCUGCAAGACCUGAGGGAUGAUGAUAAAGUGAAAAUUUCACUGCACCGAGUUUUGAAUGACGGGGAAGUGAAGGUCAAAGUCUACAGGCUCAGUCUCAGCGAUUCAGGGAAAGUUGAAUUCUUUUUCGACUGGGUUAUAACACUCGGUACAACGGUCGGAGAGACGAAAAAGGCCAUGCUUAAGGAGUUAGAGAGGAGAAAUCCUGAGAUCAAAAUACCUUAUGACAGGUUCCGUCUGAGGAAAAAGUUUUCAAGGAGUGUCGGAUCAGUAUUGUUGGACCAUGAGGUUUGGGAUAAAAAGUUGGGCUCUUCAGUCGAACUAUUUGUUCAGAUCCUGGACAAACCCGAGCAGGUGAACAGGAAUACUCAUUCGGUGAUAUUCGCACGCCGUUGGCACACCUCGUCGCUCAGUCUCGGCCCUCUGGUUGAGGUUGUGCUCGAGUCUCCUUCACUAGUCAAUUUCAAACAGAAGCUGUCCGAAAUAAGCGAUAUUCCCAUGCAGAAUAUCGAAGUCGCCAAAGGGGAUGGUACAAGCUUUCAGGACGAAAUCCAGCCCCUCUUGCUCACAAGGUUAAACUGGACUUUGGAGGACGACUCCGGAGAAGACGAUUGUAAAUAUUUGCCCGAGGACGAUACCAUAGUUUUCUUCAGAGAUCGGGAAGAAGAAAUGAAAAAACUCUCCAAAGAAGAGGAGAUUCGAGCUUCCUGCUAUGAGUACAAUCGGGAAAACAGAGUUCCUUCCUUCCUGAAUCGAAAAGAGAAGGCCUUGAAGAUAUAUUGGAGCAACGAGGCAUCGAGGCCUCGAAGAAGUGUGAUAGAUGUCGACUGAGGUUUCUACUGUGGAAAGAAGAAAAUUCUCAUCCGACCCCGACCAAUGGGGGUGAAUAAAUUUUAGCGAACUCUUUAUAAAGGAAAUGAGGCUGUUUUCUAUCUGCUCGAGUGCAAGUUCUGUUUACUGAAGAACUCGGUUGGCUUCCGCUCCCAGGUUUAGUUUUCCUUUUUUUUCUUUUUUCUUUUUUUUUUUUUGUACAUUCAUAAUCGACAGAUGCUGCAUGCGGUCCAAGAGUCUUGUCACUUGGGCAAUUCAGAAGUUCAAGUUAAUAUCAAAUAUUAUUAAAAUAGACAUUUUAAACUAUAA
rnacentral:misc_RNA from 1 species